GCAGUGCUUGCACAGCAUCAAGGAUUUGUCUUUUUCCCACUCUGUCCCCCAGCGAGUAAGCUGGGGGUGCACAAGUGGCUGGGAGGGGACACAGCCAGGACAGCUGACACAAACUGCCCAGAGGGAUGUUCCACACCCUAUGAGGUCUUCUCA